rnacentral:rRNA from 1 species
GGGACACGUGGUAUCCUGUCUGAAUAUGGGGGGACCAUCCUCCAAGGCUAAAUACUCCUGACUGACCGAUAGUGAACCAGUACCGUGAGGGAAAGGCGAAAAGAACCCCGGCGAGGGGAGUGAAAAAGAACCUGAAACCGUGUACGUACAAGCAGUGGGAGCACGCUUAGGCGUGUGACUGCGUACCUUUUGUAUAAUGGGUCAGCGACUUAUAUUCUGUAGCAAGGUUAACCGAAUAGGGGAGCCGAAGGGAAACCGAGUCUUAACUGGGCGUUAAGUUGCAGGGUAUAGACCCGAAACCCGGUGAUCUAGCCAUGGGCAGGUUGAAGGUUGGGUAACACUAACUGGAGGACCGAACCGACUAAUGUUGAAAAAUUAGCGGAUGACUUGUGGCUGGGGGUGAAAGGCCAAUCAAACCGGGAGAUAGCUGGUUCUCCCCGAAAG